rnacentral:rRNA from 1 species
ACUCCUACGGGAGGCAGCAGUGGGGAAUAUUGCACAAUGGGCGCAAGCCUGAUGCAGCCAUGCCGCGUGUGUGAAGAAGCUUCCGUUNGAUGUAAGCUUUCAGUCGUGAGGAAGGUAGUGUAGUUAAUAGCUGCAUUAUUUGACGUUAGCGACAGAAGAAGCACCGGCUAACUCCGUGCCAGCAGCCGCGGUAAUACGGAGGGUGCGAGCGUUAAUCGGAAUUACUGGGCGUAAAGCGCAUGCAGGUGGUUUGUUAAGUCAGAUGUGAAAGCCCGGGGCUCAACCUCGGAAUUGCAUUUGAAACUGGCAGACUAGAGUACUGUAGAGGGGGGUAGAAUUUCAGGUGUAGCGGUGAAAUGCGUAGAGAUCUGAAGGAAUACCGGUGGCGAAGGCGGCCCCCUGGACAGAUACUGACACUCAGAUGCGAAAGCGUGGGGAGCAAACAGGAUUAGAUACCCUGGUAGGAUAGCGU